rnacentral:tRNA from 1 species
UCCAGAGUAGCAUAACAUAAGCGUGGGUAGUGCAUACGACUAUUAAUCGUAAAAGUGAAGGUUCGAAUCCUUCCUCUGGAGCCA